AUGCGGCCCUUGGGGCAUCCGCAGGGCGCGCGGAAGAUGAGCACCGUGCGGCCAUUGGGCGGCGCCAUCUUCCGGAGCUCGGCCUCGAGCUCGCGGUGCGCAUCGCCGAGAUCCACGGGGCGCGCCCCGGCGGCGGCGAGCAGCGCCGAUCGCGCGGCGGGGGUGGGGCGGCCGCGCACGCACUCCUCCGUCUCGAGCUGGAUGUCGAACUCAACGGCCUUCUUGAGGCCCCUGCAGCGCGGCUUUCCACACUUGCGCGCGUGGUGGCCCAGCAGCGCCCAGCCGAGCGCGGCCCCGGCCACGGCCGCGGCGGCCCCCGCGAGCGGCGCGGCCGAGAGGCAGGAGGCCGCCGGGUGGAGCAGCAGCGCGCGCACCUCGAGGAGGAGGAGCCUGGCGUGCGGGGCCACAAGGAAGCCCAACGCGGCGAGGACGGCGAGCAGCACGAGCGCGUCCACCAAGGCCAUCGGCGAGUGGUCGCAGAGGGCGGUGAGGUGGCGCCUGGAGGAGGGCGGGGAUGGCGCGCGCUUGGAUCGGGCGCCGCAUGAGGAGUCCGCCGCCCUCCGGUGGUGCUCGAAGGCGCGCAGGAACUCGAUGAGGCUGCGGCACUCCGCCAUGGCUUCCGGCGCGCUCCGGCACGGCCCGGCGGGUAAAAUUCGCCCGUUUCGGCCUGGUCUGGUGCGGUGCGGUGCCUGGCUGCGCGAGUUUUGGGAGGGAGGGAAGGGGGGUGGGGGUGGGGCGGUGUGGUGGGGGCGUCGGGAUCUGGUCUGUGGGGAGCGAACCUGCUCGGGACUUGCCGAUCGGAUCGGUGGGGCUGGGGACUCGGCACGCACCGCCCUCGAUCGGGGCUGGCUCGGCUCGGCUCGGUCGACGUGCCGUGCCGUGCCGCCGCGACGAGCGAUGGCAACUGAGCGUCGGGGGACGUCUUUCCGUUCCGUCUACGCCGCCAGUACACCACGGAAACCGCUUACGCUGGAAAUGAUGACGCGGCGCAUGCGGCCGCGACUGCGAACGGACGGUGGAAAGCACGCAGCCGCACCGUCAAGAUGUCAACGCGGCGGCCGCACACGUUACGGUCGCCGGGCGGACGUGUCACCGGGAGGGCCACUGGUCGUGCGGCUGGCUCUAGUCGCGGUGGCGCCGUACGCCACCAGCCGCUCUAUCUCUAUCUUGUGCGUUUCUGGACCAAAAGCUUCCGUGCACACAAUUAAGUGCACAGCGUUAUCAGGAAAAGAAAAAAGAAGGUUCGUGCGUGGUGGCGCACGUCUCCGCCACUGCCACCACGGAGAAUUCCGGCAAUAA
rnacentral:rRNA from 1 species